rnacentral:rRNA from 1 species
UAACGGCGAGUGAACCGGGAAGAGCUCAAAUUUGAAAUCUGGCGUGCUCAGUGCGUCCGAGUUGUAAUCUAUAGAGUCGUUUUCCGUGCCGGACUGUGUCCAAGUCCCUUGGAACAGGGUAUCAAAGAGGGUGAUAAUCCCGUACUUGACACAAUGACCGGUGCUCUGUGAUACGUCUUCUACGAGUCGAGUUGUUUGGGAAUGCAGCUCAAAAUGGGUGGUGAGUUCCAUCUAAAGCUAAAUAUUGGCGAGAGACCGAUAGCGAACAAGUACCGUGAGGGAAAGAUGAAAAGCACUUUGGAAAGAGAGUUAAACAGUACGUGAAAUUGUUAAAAGGGAAACGAUUGAAGUCAGUCGUGACUGAGAGGCUCAGCCGGUUCUGCCGGUGUAUUCCCCUCAGUCGGGUCAACAUCAGUUUUGUUCGGUGGAUAAGGGCAGUUGGAAGGUGGCACCCUCGGGUGUGUUAUAGCCAGCUGUCGCAUACAUCGGAUGAGACUGAGGAAUGCAGCUCGCCUUUAUGGCCGGGGUUCGCCCACGUUCGAGCU